GAUAGGUAUCAGAGGGUGGAGAAACCCAAGACGGAGAGUCCUAUAAACGACAACGAUAUACGCAUUACAACCCAAGGUAGGAUGCGCAAUUAUAUCACCUAUGCCACCACUCUCCUCCAGUUUGAUUUUUGGUUUUCCUGCUCAGUUUGGAGACUACUCGCCACGUUUCAAUGAUCACCGUUACUUUGUCACGGAAAGAAUUGGAUACAUCCUCCACGGGGGCACAACCAACUUUGAGUGCAUAUCAAAGCUUCAGCCAUUAAUGGUGACAAAGAGUUGCGGAAGACAUCAAGCACACAUCAACCAGUGCUAAAGCAUGAUUCAGAAGCAACAGUUGAGACCGAAAUACCUAAGACGUCAGGGGCUAUGAGAGAAAGAAUUCUGUAUUUUGAAGCAUUCACUUUCCACCAAGCCAAUAUAUCAAAAUUCUCAGCUUCUACAGUAUCCUCGGCCAGAUAUCUCUCGACAUCUAACUUGCUAUCUACAUUAGCCUUAUCUCUUUUUUGUUUUUUCCACAUAUUCACUCUAUUUUCAAAAACUCCCUUAGCACCAGUUGAGACUUUAGUAUUAUCAUCCAAGACAUCUCUAGAUGAACUUCCACCAUCCUUCCUUCCUUUAUCAUCUACAACCUCCUUUUCAUAAAACUUAUAUAAAGUCUCCAAUGAUAGUUUAACAAAACCAGUCAUACUAGUAGACACUUCCUUGUCAUAAACAUCCUCCAAACACCAACAGAGAUAAUCUAAUUUAUAACGAGGAUCCAAUACAACAGCAACAAGUAACAACGGGUUAAAUUUGUCAACAGGUCCCCAAUAUUUAUGAUAUUUAUUCUUCAUAGAACAUGCCAUAGACCCUAACAAUUCAGAAUGACUUUGGCUC